GUAGCACACAAUAAUCUGAAGUUAGUGUUACUGGGUUAGUCAGUGAUGGAAAUGUGGAGCCUCAUAAUAUAUGUUAUAGUAAUGAUGACAGUAUCUCCAAUGAAAGAUGGUCAUCCUGACUUCUGGCCAGCAGAAAUUUUUGGAAGCCCCACUGUGAAAGUUGGAGAAAAUAUGCAGUUACAGUGCAUCGACUUUGACCAAAGUGUAUCAAGUAACCAGCUCCACCUGUACUUGCUUAAAAAUGGUGCUGGAGUGAUGAUGGAGUUAUUAGGAGAGAGACAUGAGCACAACUUCACUGUGAAAAAUGUUUCAGUGCUGGACUCGGGAAAGUACAGCUGUGUGUUCUCAUUAACCAAAUAUCCCCUGAAAAACUUGAAUGCAUCAGCACUAAAACCAGGACAAAAAACAAUCCAAGUCCAGGUCACUGAUGGACAUCCUGACUUCUGGCCAGCAGAAAUUUUUGGAAGGCCCACUGUGAAAGUUGGAGAAAAUAUCCAGUUAACGUGCAUCGACUUUGACCAAAGUGUAUCAAGUAACCAGCUCCACCUGUACUUGCUUAAAAAUGGUGCUGGAGUGAUGAUGGAGUUAUUAGGAGAGAGACAUGAGCACAAGUUCACUGUGAAAAAUGUUUCAGUGCUGGACUCGGGAAAGUACAGCUGUGUGUUCUCAUUAACCAAAUAUCCCCUGAAAAACUUGAAUGCAUCAGCACUAAAACCAGGACAAAAAACAAUCCAAGUCCAGGUCACUGAACAUCCUCUGAAUAUGAGCACAAAUGAAGAAAAUGAUGGCCAAGUCCAGCUCAGUGACAAUUCAUCAUCCAUUACUGACAAACAUCCUCAACAGAAAAUCCAGCACAGUGAUUAUCUGAAAAACCUGCUGAUUACGCUUCUUGUUUUGCUCCUGGUUGUGAUACUUUCUGUUGAAAUGUAUCGUAAUAGAGCCAAAAUGUUUACAGAGUUUUGCCACAAACAAGCACAAAGUGGACAGGAUAAUACAGGCUACUGUGAAGAGCAAGUGAUGCAGGCAGUGAACAGAGAAGAAUCCCUUCAUGACACGUGUGAAUAUUCCACAAUACCAGAAUUAAAGGUUUACACAAGUUCAGUAGAUAUUUGUUAUGCUGAGAGUGGAGUGUCCAGUCUGGCUUAAACCAGUGUGGUGUACAGCUUAGCAGAGCACCCUGGU
ensembl:lncRNA